rnacentral:rRNA from 1 species
GACGAACGCUGGCGGCGUGCCUAAUACAUGCAAGUAGAACGCUGAAGGAGGAGCUUGCUUCUCUGGAUGAGUUGCGAACGGGUGAGUAACGCGUAGGUAACCUGCCUGGUAGCGGGGGAUAACUAUUGGAAACGAUAGCUAAUACCGCAUAAUAGUAGAUGUCGCAUGACAUUUGCUUAAAAGGUGCAAUUGCAUCACUACCAGAUGGACCUGCGUUGUAUUAGCUAGUUGGUGAGGUAACGGCUCAUCAAGGCAACGAUACAUAGCCGACCUGAGAGGGUGAUCGGCCACACUGGGACUGAGACACGGCCCAGACUCCUACGGGAGGCAGCAGUAGGGAAUCUUCGGCAAUGGACGGAAGUCUGACCGAGCAACGCCGCGUGAGUGAAGAAGGUUUUCGGAUCGUAAAGCUCUGUUGUAAGAGAAGAACGAGUGUGAGAGUGGAAAGUUCACACUGUGACGGUAUCUUACCAGAAAGGGACGGCUAACUACGUG